rnacentral:rRNA from 1 species
AGCGAACGCUGGCGGCAUGCUUAACACAUGCAAGUCGCGCGGGCAGCUUCGGCUUCCAGCGGCGGACGGGUGCGGAACGCGUAGGAACGUCUCCGGAGGUGGGGGACAACCCUGGGAAACCGGGGCUAAUACCGCCUAUGGCCCGCGGGCCAAAGCCGAAAGACGCCUGCGGGGCGGCCUGCGUCCGAUUACGUAGUUGGCUGGGUAACGGCGCAUCAGAGCCGCGAUCGGUAGCCGGUCUGAGAGGACGAGCGGCCACACUGGGGCUGAGACGCGGCCCAGACUCCUACGGGAGGCGGGAGUGGGGGAUAUAGGGCAAUGGGGGGUAGCCAGACGCAGCAAGGCCGGGUGGGUGAAGAAGGUCUGGGGAUUGUAAAGCCCGUUCGGCGGGGACGAUGGUGACGGUACCCGCAGAAGAAGCCCCGGCCAACUUCGUG